rnacentral:misc_RNA from 1 species
AGUCGUAACAAGGUAUCCGUAGGUGAACCUGCGGAUGGAUCAUUAACAAAGGUGUUUUUGAAGUUGUGUGAACAGUUGGAGGUGGUGGUAUUGGGUGGUGGUAUUGGGUGGUGGUAUUGGGUGGUAUUGGGUGGUAUUGAGUGGUGUAACCUUGGUCUAACCUUGGUCAACCUCACUCAACCUCACUCAACCUCACUCUCCCAACCUCACUCUCCCAACCUCCACCACUCCGUCCCUAUAAUGUAUACAAACUGAUGUCUGCUAGUUUCAAACUAAAACAACUUUUAGCAACGGAUCUCUUGGCUCUC